rnacentral:lncRNA from 1 species
AGUUCCAUGGCCGCCUCCUGAAUUCUGGGCCCACCCGUGGGGUCCACCUCCACCCCCAAGACGAAAGGCACCUUGUGCUUCAGCUCCUUGGACAGUUUGGUAAUUUCAACCAAACCUACCGAUCUGAAACAAAACGCUUCGUUUUGAGAUAGGGACUUUAUCUGUAACUGAUUCUUCAGCUUUAGGAAAUCUUCAGGGUCCAUCAACAGGUGGAGGUCUUCGAUAUCGGCGAGAAGCAUCCAGAUCCUCUCCAGCAGGUAGCAGUCGUUGGCGGCUUCUUUGAAUUCCUUCUUCUCGAUUCGCCUAACAAUGCGUUCUAGUAGCUCCUUCGACGCCUGGAUCCACGACUCCAGGAUCUGGUGUGUGGUGUAUAGCUUUUGGUUCUCGUGGUUCUUUACGUGGUCGUAAGGAUUUCUUUUCAGGGCAUGUAGUUCGUUAGGCCGGCAAACGGCGUCGUAUUCCAGGCUCGGCUUGCCGGCAAGGUUCGGUUCCCCUAGCCCGAGGGUGUACGGACAUCUCUUCAUCUCGCACUCAAUGGAGUACAAGAUCUUCUGUGCUAUGUCCUCGGAUUUCCGCCACGUGGCAAGACGAGGAAGCAAGCUAGCCUCGCUGGUUCGGUUCACGAACGUCGUCUUCUCCGCGCCACCGCCAAGCUUCCAAACCUCUGCCGAGCUACC